rnacentral:rRNA from 1 species
CCUACGGGUGGCUGCAGUAAGGAAUAUUGGUCAAUGGACGAAAGUCUGAACCAGCCAUGCCGCGUGGAGGAUGAAGGUCCUCUGGAUUGUAAACUUCUUUUAUAUGGGACGAAAAAAGGCCUUUCUAGGUCGUCUGACGGUACCAUAUGAAUAAGCACCGGCUAACUCCGUGCCAGCAGCCGCGGUAAUACGGAGGGUGCAAGCGUUAUCCGGAUUAACUGGGCUUAAGGGGUGCGGUAAGUCGUUGGUAAAAUCCCCGAGCUUAACUUGGGAACUGCCAAUGAUACUAUCAGUCUUGAAUACCGUGGAGGUCAGCGGAAUAUGUCAUGUAGCGGUGAAAUGCUUAGAGAUGACAUAGAACACCAAUUGCGAAGGCAGCUGGCUACCCGAAUAUUGACACUGAGGCACGAAAGCGUGGGGAUCAAACAGGAUUAGAUACCCCUGUAGUC